rnacentral:rRNA from 1 species
UACGGGGGGGAGCAAGCGUUGUUCGGAUUUACUGGGCGUAAAGGGCGCGUAGGCGCCUCCGCAAGUCAGUUGUGAAAAUCUCCGAGCUUUAACUCGGAAAGGUCAACUGAUACUGCGGGGCUAGAGUGCGGAAGGGGCAACUGGAAUUCUCGGUGUAGCGUGAAAUGCGUAGAUAUCGAGAGGAACACCUGCGGCGAAGGCGGGUUGCUGGGCUGACACUGACGCUGAGGCGCGAAAGCUAGGGGAGCGAACGGG